UUGCCGUGACUUGAGAAGCAAAAGAAAAGAAGAAAUCGGUUCUUCUUAGCUGAAAUGAAAAGAAGAAGAAAGGAAUGAAGCUAGAAAGGAGAGGGCAGCUGCAUGUAGUGGAAAACCAUGGAAUUUGUUUGCUUAGAAGUUAAAAUUUUCAAGUAGAAGGCUAACAAGGUAGGAGAAGGUGGUAGUAGACAAGGGAAAGAGCAAAUUGAAUAGGUGGAAUCGGUGUUGGGAGCCUUGAUUUUGCUCGUUAGCUAUCGGAUUCGGGAUCAUUGAAGUCGAAGUCAUCCACACUAUCAAAGCCCCCAUUUUGGUACAAUUUUGGUUGAACUUUGAAAUGGCAUGUAUAGGACUACCCUUUUGUUGUAGGUUAUGUACCUUUCGGUUUUGUGUAAAUUCGGAUAGCCAUGCGAAAAUGGCUUAUAUACGUUUCUAGCAUAGUACUAUAAUCGUUUGUAUGUUGAUCAUUAUGAGGUAUGGAAUUGUUUUGAAACGAUUAGCCAUUGGAAUGGUUAAUCAUGAUCA